rnacentral:rRNA from 1 species
GACGAACGCUGGCGGCGUGCUUAACACAUGCAAGUCGAGCGGUAAGGCCCUUUCGGGGGUACACGAGCGGCGAACGGGUGAGUAACACGUGGGUGACCUGCCCUUAGCUCUGGGAUAAGCCUGGGAAACUGGGUCUAAUACCGGAUAUGACUCCAUGACGCAUGUUGUGGGGUGGAAAGCCUUGUGCGGCUAGGGAUGGGCCCGCGGCCUAUCAGCUUGUUGGUGGGGUGAUGGCCUACCAAGGCGACGACGGGUAGCCGGCCUGAGAGGGCGACCGGCCACACUGGGACUGAGACACGGCCCAGACUCCUACGGGAGGCAGCAGUGGGGAAUCUUGCGCAAUGGCGAAAGCCUGACGCAGCGACGCCGCGUGA